AUGUCGGAUUAGGUUGUUGGUGGGGUAAAAGCCUACCAAGCCGACGAUCUGUAGCUGGUCUGAGAGGACGACCAGCCACACUGGGACUGAGACACGGCCCAGACUCCUACGGGAGGCAGCAGUGGGGAAUUUUGGACAAUGGGCGAAAGCSUGAUCCAGCAAUGCCGCGUGCGGGAAGAAGGCCUUCGGGUUGUAAACCGCUUUUGUCAGGGAAGAAACGCUCUGAGCUAAUACCUCGGGGUAAUGACGGUACCUGAAGAAUAAGCACCG
rnacentral:rRNA from 1 species